GACGAACGCUGGCGGCGUGCUUAACACAUGCAAGUCGAACGGAAAGGCCCUGCUUUUGUGGGGUGCUCGAGUGGCGAACGGGUGAGUAACACGUGAGUAACCUGCCCUUGACUUUGGGAUAACUUCAGGAAACUGGGGCUAAUACCGGAUAGGAGCUCCUGCUGCAUGGUGGGGGUUGGAAAGUUUCGGCGGUUGGGGAUGGACGUGCGGCUUAUCAGCUUGUUGGUGGGGUAGUGGCUUACCAAGGCUUUGACGGGUAGCCGGCCUGAGAGGGUGACCGGCCACACUGGGACUGAGAUACGGCCCAGACUCCUACGGGAGGCAGCAGUGGGGAAUAUUGCACAGUGGGCGGAAGCCUGAUGCAGCAACGCCGCGUGCGGGAUGACGGCCUUCGGGUUGUAAACCGCUUUCGCCUGUGCCGAAGCGUGAGUGACGGUAAUGGGUAAAGAAGCACCGGCUAACUACGUG
rnacentral:rRNA from 1 species